GAAACGAUGUGGGAAGGCCCAGACAGCCAGGAUGUUGGCUUAGAAGCAGCCAUCAUUUAAAGAAAGCGUAAUAGCUCACUGGUCGAGUCGGCCUGCGCGGAAGAUGUAACGGGGCUAAACCAUGCACCGAAGCUGCGGCAGCGACGCUGAUGCGUUGUUGGGUAGGGGAGCGUUCUGUAAGCCUGUGAAGGUGUGCUGUGAGGCAUGCUGGAGGUAUCAGAAGUGCGAAUGCUGACAUAAGUAACGAUAAAGCGGGUGAAAAGCCCGCUCGCCGGAAGACCAAGGGUUCCUGUCCAACGUUAAUCGGGGCAGGGUGAGUCGACCCCUAAGGCGAGGCCGAAAGGCGUAGUCGAUGGGAAACAGGUUAAUAUUCCUGUACUUGGUGUUACUGCGAAGGGGGGACGGAGAAGGCUAUGUUGGCCGGGCGACGGUUGUCCCGGUUUAAGCGUGUAGGCUGGUUUUCCAGGCAAAUCCGGAAAACUAAGGCUGAGGCGUGAUGACGAGGCACUACGGUGCUGAAGCAACAAAUGCCCUGCUUCCAGGAAAAGCCUCUAAGCAUCAGGUAACAUCAAAUCGUACCCCAAACCGACACAGGUGGUCAGGUAGAGAAUACCAAGGCGCUUGAGAGAACUCGGGUGAAGGAACUAGGCAAAAUGGUGCCGUAACUUCGGGAGAAGGCACGCUGAUAUGUAGGUGAAGUCCCUCGCGGAUGGAGCUGAAAUCAGUCGAAGAUACCAGCUGGCUGCAACUGUUUAUUAAAAACACAGCACUGUGCAAACACGAAAGUGGACGUAUACGGUGUGACGCCUGCCCGGUGCCGGAAGGUUAAUUGAUGGGGUCAGCGCAAGCGAAGCUCUUGAUCGAAGCCCCGGUAAACGGCGGCCGUAACUAUAACGGUCCUAAGGUAGCGAAAUUCCUUGUCGGGUAAGUUCCGACCUGCACGAAUGGCGUAAUGAUGGCCAGGCUGUCUCCACCCGAGACUCAGUGAAAUUGAACUCGCUGUGAAGAUGCAGUGUACCCGCGGCAAGACGGAAAGACCCCGUGAACCUUUACUAUAGCUUGACACUGAACAUUGAGCCUUGAUGUGUAGGAUAGGUGGGAGGCUUUGAAGUGUGGACGCCAGUCUGCAUGGAGCCGACCUUGAAAUACCACCCUUUAAUGUUUGAUGUUCUAACGUUGACCCGUAAUCCGGGUUGCGGACAGUGUCUGGUGGGUAGUUUGACUGGGGCGGUCUCCUCCUAAAGAGUAACGGAGGAGCACGAAGGUUGGCUAAUCCUGGUCGGACAUCAGGAGGUUAGUGCAAUGGCAUAAGCCAGCUUGACUGCGAGCGUGACGGCGCGAGCAGGUGCGAAAGCAGGUCAUAGUGAUCCGGUGGUUCUGAAUGGAAGGGCCAUCGCUCAACGGAUAAAAGGUACUCCGGGGAUAACAGGCUGAUACCGCCCAAGAGUUCAUAUCGACGGCGGUGUUUGGCACCUCGAUGUCGGCUCAUCACAUCCUGGGGCUGAAGUAGGUCCCAAGGGUAUGGCUGUUCGCCAUUUAAAGUGGUACGCGAGCUGGGUUUAGAACGUCGUGAGACAGUUCGGUCCCUAUCUGCCGUGGGCGCUGGAGAACUGAGGGGGGCUGCUCCUAGUACGAGAGGACCGGAGUGGACGCAUCACUGGUGUUCGGGUUGUCAUGCCAAUGGCACUGCCCGGUAGCUAAAUGCGGAAGAGAUAAGUGCUGAAAGCAUCUAAGCACGAAACUUGCCCCGAGAUGAGUUCUCCCUGACUCCUUGAGAGUCCUGAAGGAACGUUGAAG
rnacentral:rRNA from 1 species